UACGAAGUGUGCAAGCGUUAAUCGGAAUUACUGGGCGUAAAGGGUGCGUAGGCGGUUCGUUAAGUCUGUCGUGAAAUCCCCGGGCUCAACCUGGGAAUGGCGAUGGAUACUGGCGAGCUAGAGUGUGUCAGAGGAUGGUGGAAUUCCCGGUGUAGCGGUGAAAUGCGUAGAGAUCGGGAGGAACAUCAGUGGCGAAGGCGGCCAUCUGGGACAACACUGACGCUGAAGCACGAAAGCGUGGGGAGCAAACAGG
rnacentral:rRNA from 1 species